rnacentral:misc_RNA from 1 species
UUAAGUUCAGCGGGUAUCCCUACCUGAUCCGAGGUCAACCUUGAAAAUUUGGGGGUUGCUGGCAAGCACUCACAUGGUCCUCCAGAGCGAGAAGAGUUACUACGCUUGAAGCCGAGUGGCGCCGCCACUGAUUUUGAGGCGCACCGCGAGGGGUGACGCCCAAUACCAAGCAGAGCUUGAGGGUUGUAAUGACGCUCAAA